rnacentral:rRNA from 1 species
UACGUAGGGGGCAAGCGUUAUCCGGAUUUACUGGGUGUAAAGGGAGCAUAGACGGCCAGACAAGUCUGAAGUGAAAAUCCAGCGCUUAACGUUGGAAGUGCUUUGGAAACUGCCGGGCUGGAGUGCAGAAGGGGCAGGCGGAAUUCCUAGUGUAGCGGUGAAAUGCGUAGAUAUUAGGAGGAACACCAGUGGCGAAGGCGGCUUACUGGACUGUAACUGACGUUGAGGCUCGAAAGCGUGGGGAGCAAACAGG